rnacentral:tRNA from 1 species
GCCCCUAUCGUCUAGCGGUCCAGAGCACCGCCCUGUCAAGGCGGCCGUUGCGGGUUCGAGCCUCAGUCCCGA